rnacentral:tRNA from 1 species
GGCCCUGUAGUCUAGUGGUAUAACAUGUCCUUGACGUGGACAAAACCCCAGUCCGAUUCUGGGCAGGGCCA